ACUCCUACGGGAGGCAGCAGUGGGGAAUAUUGCGCAAUGGGCGAAAGCCUGACGCAGCAAUGCCGCGUGAGUGAGGAAGGCCUUCGGGUUGUAAAGCUCUGUCAUAUGGAAAGAAUGGUCAUUGUUCUAACAGGGCAGUGAUUUGACGGUACCAUAAAAGGAAGCACCGGCUAACUUCGUGCCAGCAGCCGCGGUAAUACGAAGGGUGCAAGCGUUGUUCGGAUUUAUUGGGCGUAAAGCGCGCGCAGGCGGACUAUUAAGCCAGAUGUGAAAUCUCGGGCUCAACCCGAACAUGCGUCUGGAACUGGUAGUCUAGAAUCUUGGAGGGGAGGCGGAAUUGAUCGCAUGUAGGGGUAAAUCCAGUAGAGAUGCGAAGGAACACCAGAGCCGAAGGGGCGU
rnacentral:rRNA from 1 species